ensembl:lncRNA
UAGCAAGUAAAUGUGAUUCACUGCAGUGCAGAGUCUUGACACAGAAUUGAGACCAAGGCUUAUGUGAUCAUAUCAUUGAGUCCAUUUGUGUAAUUGCCAGCAGUGGCUAGAAAUAUUAGCAAUCUCAGGGUCAUAACAUACUCACCGGGGCAGCACAAGGGAGGAUUAUUUUCAUGUGAUGCAAGUGACGACAAGAAUGUUUGUGCAGAGGCAGAAAGGUACAGAGACAGAGAGAGGCAGAAAGGUUCAGAGACUCAGAGACACAGAGAGGCAGAAAGGUACAGAGACACAGAGACACAGAGAGGCAGAAAGGUUCAGAGACUCAGAGACACAGAGAGAGGCAGAAAGGUGCAGAGACACGGAGAGGCAGAAAGGUUGAGAGACACAGAGAGGCAGAAAGGUGCAGACACAGAGGGCUACAGAGCAAUGAACAGACUUCCAGUUUCAACUCACCCUGGAAACUUUCCUGCGUGCUCUGGGCCGCUUCCCUCGUAUUACUCCCUGCCAGCAGGUGUCCCAGUGAGCGUCCCACCCUAAUGUGUGAAUGAUUGGAAACGGUAGGAGGUGAAGUGGGGGGAUAUGUGCUUUGAGAGAGGAAACCUGCUCUCAGGAUGUGAGGUGGAUUUAACUGCUAUGACAUCCUUUUACAAAUAAACGGUCG